rfam:Strongylocentrotus purpuratus Contig47363_fixed, whole genome shotgun sequence.
GGCAUAGUGGCUCAAUGGUUAGAGCAUCCGCCUCAUGAACGGGAGGUCGUGGGUUCGAUCCCCGGCCGAGUCA